UACGGGGGGGGCAAGCGUUGUUCGGAAUUACUGGGCGUAAAGGGCUCGUAGGCGGCCAACUAAGUCGGACGUGAAAUCCCUCGGCUUAACCGGGGAACUGCUUCCGAUACUGGAUGGCUUGAGUGUGGGAGAGGGAUGCGGAAUUCCAGGUGUAGCGGUGAAAUGCGUAGAUAUCUGGAGGAACACCGGUGGCGAAGGCGGCAUCCUGGACCAUUACUGACGCUGAGGAGCGAAAGCGUGGGGAGCGAACAGG
rnacentral:rRNA from 1 species